GCGCACCAGGAGUGCUGGGUGACCAUCAGGUGAUGGUCAGGCAGUUGUUAACUCUCUCUGUAAAGUAAUAAUUGGUCACAGCCAGUGCCAGAGAAAGUCCGUCUACUAAUAGAUGUAGAUAGGAAACACCUGAAACUGAUCAGCAGCUUCCCAGUAAGAUCUCAGGAGUGGAGAGGAGGAACGCAAGAUCCCGGAAGUAUGCCGGCGUAUAAAACCCCCAGUCAAAAGAAUAAAGCCCAAAAAUAUUAGCAUAACAUUCAGGGGACUUCGUGAUCAAGAUCCACUUUAUCUCUCCUGUGUUAUCUCUGACUGCCACCCUGUGAAGCCUUGAUUCAACGACACCAAACCACUGACAAUUCUGGAGAACAUUAAGUUAUUAAAAGUCUUUUGCAAUGAUUGGAAGAUGCCUGUGAUCUGGAGAAAAAAAUGAGAGUCUACAGAGACCUUGCCUCCUGAGGCAAUGGCGUAUCUCACAGCCACUAGUGGUGACAGUCAAGAGAAUGACCAAAAAUAGGAUCCAACCAGCCCACUAUGAGGAACACCAGCACCGAAGGCCUGGUUACCACGGUGGGAUAAGGGUCCAGUUGGUAGAGCCCAGCAAAAGCCCAGAGGGCAAAGGCCUCUUCCACUCUCAUCAAGAUACUAAGCUUCUCCAUGAACCCAGGUACCAUCUUAGGAAGGAGGAAUGAGGUGAGACCCCUUGAGAGAUAGGAAAAGCUUAACUUUUAAUGAGUAUUUAGCAGAAAGAGAUUGAUUUGAAACAGAAGAAACUGGGUUACUUUUUAUUGACCAGGGACAUAUGCUGAAUUGUGCCCUCACACACACAAAUUUGUGUGUUGAAGCCCUAACCCUCAAUACCCCAGGAUGUAACUGUAUUUAGAGACAGCGCCUUUAAAGAGGUGAUGAAGUUAAAAUGAGGCCCUAAGGGUGGACAGUAAUCCAAUCUGACCAGUACUAUAAGUAAAGGAAAUUUGGACAUACAAGGAAACACCAGAUGCCCACACACAGAGGAAAGACAAGGUGAGAACACAGAGAGAAGGCAGCCAUUUGCAAGCUGAGGAGAGAGGCUUCAUGAGAAACAAGCACUGCCAACACCCGAAUCUUGGAUUUCCAGCCCCUAAAACCAUAAGAAAAUUAAUUUCUGUUGUUUAAGCCAUCCAGUCCCUAGCAUUUCAUUACAGCAGCCAUAGCAAACUAAUACGGCAUUUUAAGGGUUGUGGGGUUUUCAUUUCAUAUCAGUAGGAGCAAAAGCAAGAUGAAAUGUCAGUUAAAUAAAAUGUAAAAA